UGGGACGGAGGGUUAAAAUAAAAGAAAAGAAACAUCAAGGAAUUUUGACCUGCUGUGUGCGUUGUAGUAUCUGCUGCACGAUUUUAGAUUCUUUAACAGGUAAA
rnacentral:ribozyme from 1 species